GAUGAAGAACGUAGCGAAAUGCGAUAAGUAAUGCGAAUUGCAGAAUCCGUGAGUCAUCGAAUCUUUGAACGCACAUUGCGCCCCUUGGUUAUUCCGAAGGGCAUGCCUGUUCGAGCGUCAUUAUCACCCCUCAAGCCCUGGCUUGGUGUUGGACUUUAGUUAUAGCUUUGCCUAUCAACUGGUCUCAAAGAUAGUGACGGCGCUCCAGAGGGAACCGGGUACGAGGAGCUUUUUACUAAGCAUGUAUCUGGGACGACUCUGGGCGACGGUCUUGUUAUACUUUUUACCUAAGUGUUGACCUCGGAUCAGGUAGGAAUACCCGCUGAACUUAAGCAUAUCAAUAAGCGGAGGA
rnacentral:misc_RNA from 1 species